rnacentral:rRNA from 1 species
AGCGAACGCUGGCGGCAGGCUUAACACAUGCAAGUCGAACGCCCCGCAAGGGGAGUGGCAGACGGGUGAGUAACACGUGGGAACGUACCCUUUGGUUCGGAAUAACUUGGGGAAACUCAAGCUAAUACCGGAUAAGCCCUUAUGGGGAAAGGUUUACUGCCGAAGGAUCGGCCCGCGUCUGAUUAGCUAGUUGGUGAGGUAAUGGCUCACCAAGGCGACGAUAAGUAGCUGGUCGGAGAGGAUGAUCAGCCACACUGGGACUGAGACACGGCCCAGACUCCUACGGGAGGAAGCAGUGGGGAAUAUUGGACAAUGGGGGCAACCCUGUUCCAGCCAUGCCGCGUGAGUGAUGAAGGCCUUAGGGUUGUAAAGCUCUUUUACCCGGGACGAUAAUGACUGUACCGGGAGAAUAAGCCCCGGCUAACUUCGUGCCAGCCGCCGCGGUAA